rnacentral:rRNA from 1 species
AAAUAGUACGUUGAAGAGUGUAGGUAUAGAGACUAUAGGUAAAUCCGUAGACUUUGCUGAAACUCGAUAGUACCGCAAACCUUCGGGGGAGUGGAUAAUGCGCCUAAUCAGGCUUCCGAGAAAAUCUUCUAAGCUUCAGAUGUAUGCGGCUCGUACCGUAAACCGACACAGGUAGUCGAGGAGAGUAUCCUAAGGCGCUCGAGUGAAUCAUGGUUAAGGAACUCGGCAAAUUGGCCUCGUAACUUCGGGAAAAGAGGCGCCUACCCUUCGGGGAGGCCGCAGUGAAUUGGCCCAGGCAACUGUUUAACAAAAACACAGGGCUAUGCCAAAUCGAAAGAUGAUGUAUAUGGCCUGACACCUGCCCGGUGCCGGAAGGUUAAGGAAGCUUGUCAUUCAGUAAUGGAGAAGCUUGCGACUGAAGCCCCGGUAAACGGCGGCCGUAACAAUAACGGUCCUAAGGUAGCGAAAUUCCUUGUCGGGUAAGUUCCGACCUGCACGAAUGGUGUAAUGAUCUGGGCACUGUCUCAACCAUGAGCUCGGUGAAAUCGUAGUAUCGGUGAAGAUGCCGAUUACCCGCACCGGGACGGAAAGACCCCGUGCACCUUCACUAUAGCUUUGCAUUGACUUUGGGUAAAUGAUGUGUAGGAUAGGUGGGAGACUACGAAGCGGGUGCGCUAGCAUCUGUGGAGUCGUCCUUGAAAUACCACCCUUCAUUUAUCUAGAGCCUAAUCCCCUUCGGGGUGACAGUGCAUGGUGGGUAGUUUGACUGGGGUGGUCGCCUCCCAAAGAGUAACGGAGGCUUACAAAGGUACCCUCAGUACGGUUGGUAAUCGUACGUAGAAUGUAAUAGUAUAAGGGUGCUUGACUGCAAGACUCACAAGUCGAGCAGGUACGAAAGUAGGUUAUAGUGAUCCGGUGGUUCCGCAUGGAAGGGCCAUCGCUCAUAGGAUAAUAGGUACGCCGGGAUAACAGGCUGAUCUCCCCCAAGAGCUCACAUCGACGGGGAGGUUUGGCACCUCGAUGUCGGCUCGUCACAUCCUGGGGCUGGAGAAGGUCCCAAGGGUUCGGCUGUUCGCCGAUUAAAGUGGCACGCGAGCUGGGUUCAGAACGUCGCAAGACAGUUCGGUCCCUAUCUGGUGCGGGCGUUAGAAAAUUGAGAAGAUCUGUCUCUAGUACGAGAGGACCGAGACGGACUGACCUCUGGUGUAUCUGUUGUGGCGCCAGCUGCAUUGCAGAGUAGCUAUGUCGGGAAGGGAUAAGCGCUGAAAGCAUCUAAGCACGAAACCCACUUCAAGAUGAGUUUUCUUUUAAGAGCCGUUAUAGAUGAUGACGUUGAUAGGCUACAGAUGUAAAGCUAGUAAUAGCAAAGUCGAGUAGUACUAAUUGCUCGUUAGCUUUCAGCAA